rnacentral:rRNA from 1 species
GAUGAACGCUGGCGGCGUGCCUAAUACAUGCAAGUCGAGCGAAUGGAUUAAGAGCUUGCUCUUAUGAAGUUAGCGGCGGACGGGUGAGUAACACGUGGGUAGCCUGCCCAUAAGACUGGGAUAACUCCGGGGAACCGGGGCUAAUACCGGAUAAUAUUUUGAACUGCAUGGUUCAAAAUUGAAAGGCGGCUUCGGCUGUCACUUAUGGAUGGACCCGCGUCGCAUUAGCUAGUUGGUGAGGUAACGGCUCACCAAGGCAACGAUGCGUAGCCGACCUGAGAGGGUGCUCGGCCACACUGGGACUGAGACACGGCCCAGACUCCUACGGGAGGCAGCAGUAGGGAAUCUUCCGAAAUGGACGAAAGUUUGACGGAGCAACGCCGCGUGAGUGAGGAAGGCUUUCGGGUCGUAAAACUCUGUUGUUAGGGAAGAACAAGUGCUAGUUGAAUAAGCUGGCACCUUGACGGUACCUAACCAGAAAGCCACGGCUAACUACGUGCCAGCAGCCGCCGUAA